rnacentral:rRNA from 1 species
CCAAUAGCGUAUAUUAAAGUUGUUGCAGUUAAAAAGCUCGUAGUUGAAUUUCGGGAUUGACACAUCGGUCGUGCCUUAAGGGGUAUGAACUGGUGUAGUCAAUUUCUCACCUUCUGGAGAACCGCGAUGCCCUUAAUUGGGUGUCACGGGGAACCAGGACCUUUACUUUGAAAAAAUUAGAGUGUUUAAAGCAGGCAUUUUGCUUGAAUACAUUAGCAUGGAAUAAUAAAAUAGGACGGCAUGAUUCUAUUUUGUUGGUUUCUAGGAUCACCGUAAUGAUUAAUAGGGAUAGUUGGGGGCAUUAGUAUUCAAUUGUCAGAGGUGAAAUUCUUGGAUUUAUUGAAGACUAACUACUGCGAAAGCAUUUGCCAAGGAUGUUUUCAUUAAUCAAGAACGAAAGUUAGGGGAUCGAAGACGAUCAGAUACCGUCGUAGUCUUAAUCAUAAACUAUGCCGACUAGGAAUCAGACGAUGUUAAUUUUUUAAUGACUCGUUUGGCACCUUACG